rnacentral:rRNA from 1 species
CCCGCGAAGUUUANGACCACGAUCCUGAGCCACACCAUCACUGUGCUGGAAGAUCGCCCCUGGGCUCAACCAGCAGCCGACCAUGUCGGCUCACAGAUCAAACGUUGGUGGCCGCCGAACCGGCGGUUGCAAUAUGACCGGUCCCCCACUGUUGCCAGUCGGGGAGCGUCGUCCGUAGGUGAACCUGCGGAAGGAUCAUUAAUAGAGACGAGGGUCCCCCGGGGCCCGAACUCACCACCCUGUGCGAAUCUACCAUUGUUGCUUCGGCGGGCCGCGGGACCCUUGGGUCCCCCGUCGACUCCGGUGGACGUGCGCCCGUCAGAGUCCCCCUCAACCCUGAUAAUUAGUGACGUCCGAGGCGAAACACAAUCGUUAAAACUUUCAACAACGGAUCUCUUGGUUCUGGCAUCGAUGAAGAACGCAGCGAAAUGCGAUAAGUAAUGUGAAUUGCAGAAUUCAGUGAAUCAUCGAAUCUUUGAACGCACAUUGCGCCCCCUGGUAUUCCGGGGGGCAUGCCUGUUCGAGCGUCAUUGCACCCCUCAAGCUCAGCUUGGUCUUGGGUCCCGCUCCCCUGGGGCGCCCCCGAAAAGCAGCGGCGACGCGGUCGGUCUUCGAGCGUAGUAAAACUUCUGUUUCGCUUGAAAGCCCGGGCGGGUCCGCCGGACAACCCCCUUAUUCUUCUAUGGUCGACCUCGGAUCAGGUAGGGAUACCCGCUGAACUUAAGCAUAUCAAUAAGCGGAGGAAAAGAAA